ensembl:lncRNA
CUGAAACGACCAAAAUGGACUUGAGUGAAUACGAAGAAGUGGAAAAACCUGAGAGACUUUUUUAUCAGCUGGCACCACAUAUGUAAUACCACACGAUAAUUAACACGUAAUUACACACAAGCAUGAAUGUGGGCAAUGACGUCAGCCAGUUAUGUGACAGAAUUUGAAAAGGCACUGUGGGCAUAUAUAAUAAUUUAGACUUAUUAAUGUUAAUCAGAUUUUACAACUUCUUUCUUUCUUCCUCUUUUUGCAGUAAGGGAUUGUAAUCAACAAUCAGUCUUUCUCAACAAUCAACAACCUUUAUUUCCUGCUCACGUUCAUUAUUUUUCCUCCAGGCAUCUCAUUUAGAUGACUGAUUUUUGACUUUUGUGGCUUCUUAGACUUUGAAAUGAAGCAAGGUGCUUUUUUUUUUUUUUUUUUUUUAAAUGAGCAUGAAAACAACUGUGUAAACAUAUGAAGAAAAAAAGCAUUGUAUCCCUGUAUCAGUGCAUCAAAAUGUAAUACAGUGACAUUACAACAGGCUUGGCAAAUACGUCACGAUGCGCAUGAAGCAACUGAAGCUUCUGCGCUGCUGUGGCGACUAAAAGUAGCAGCAGACAAAAGCGUCAGAUCCAUGUGGAGAGAUUAAGAGACUAUAACAGUAUGUCCUCACCAAAAAUACUGCAUUUUUCCAUUACCUUUUUUUUCACCUUUUAUGGUUUGACUACGGUUUAAAGCUUUUUCGUUUGCAUCUGGAAAACAGAACGUGGCAGGAAAAUUAGAGACAUCAGCUCAAAUGUGUAUUUUCUGUAUUUUCUGUCAGUAUUGAGAUAUAAACCUAACAUUAACUACUCACCCCUUGUGAAUGCUUACACUUUUACAAAUUUUCACAUUACAAAGUGUUUACAGUUUUCCCAAUACUGUGCAGUAUGUCAUCACAAAAAAAUACUAUGAACGACACAAGGUAACUUUGAUGAUUGACUGUUUGAAGUCUAACUGUAAGCAAAAGCGAUGCCAUCUUGGUCCUUGUGGCAUCACAAACCCCUUUGAAUGUACUCACUGGUUUGAUGAUAUAGUGACGCUUGAAGGGUGCUUAAAAUCAUUCUUUGUCUUUGAUCGCAUUCCCUGCCUUAGUGGACCAAAG